rnacentral:misc_RNA from 1 species
GCAAACUUGGUCAUUUAGAGGAAGUAAAAGUCGUAACAAGGUUUCCGUAGGUGAACCUGCGGAAGGAUCAUUAUUGAAUAGAAAACUUGGUCAGGCUGUUGCUGAUCUCUCGGGAUAUGUGCACGCUUGUCACCAACUUUCUUCUACCACCUGUGCACUUUUUGUAGAUGCUAGGCAUGGUGUUGAGGAAUAGCUUGGCUUUCCUUGAAAUGUCUGCUCUACGUCUUUUUUCAUACACGCAUGUCACAGAAUGUAAUCAAGAGGCCUCGUGCCUUUAAAAUCUAUAUACAACUUUCAACAACGGAUCUCUUGGCUCUCGCAUCGAUGAAGAACGCAGC